CUACACCUCUACAUGCACACAUAUACUCUAUACAAAAACAUGCUUACAUUCAAAUUCACAAACACUGCUCACAAAUACAACCCUACAAGAAUGGCAAAAUGAUAGAUCCCCAGCUGGCAUAGCAUCGCGGAAGUUGUAAGACAGAUGGGUAUCUAUCUUUUCUCCACUCUUGCGCUAUAGGGGAGACCCAAAAAAAAUUCUUACACCACAGCCCUCUCU